UUUCCCAACUACACCUAUUAAU
rnacentral:miRNA from 1 species